UAUACUGGAGAAUAGCCCUGAGACAUUGGGAUUAAGGCUCCAUAGUAUCUUAAAACGGCCUCGUUUAAAGAUUAAAGCUCCGGCGGUAUAAGAUGAGUAUGCGUCCUAUUAGUUAGUUGGUGAGGUAACGGCUCACCAAGACAACGAUAGGUAGGGGUCCUGAGAGGGAGAUCCCCCACACUGGUACUGAGACACGGACCAGACUCCUACGGGAGGCAGCAGUGAGGAAUAUUGGGCAAUGGAGGCAACUCUGACCCAGCCAUGCCGCGUGAAGGAAGACGGCCCUAUGGGUUGUAAACUUCUUUUAUACAGGAAGAAACGCAGAUACGUGUAUCUGUUUGACGGUACUGUACGAAUAAGGACCGGCUAACUCCGUGCCAGCAGCCGCGGUAAUACGGAGGGUCCAAGCGUUAUCCGGAAUCAUUGGGUUUAAAGGGUCCGUAGGCGGAUAAUUAAGUCAGAGGUGAAAUCCCACAGCUCAACUGUGGAACUGCCUUUGAUACUGGUUAUCUUGAGUUAUAGUGAAGUAGAUAGAAUAUGUAGUGUAGCGGUGAAAUGCAUAGAUAUUACAUAGAAUACCGAUUGCGAAGGCAGUCUACUAACUAUAUACUGACGCUGAUGGACGAAAGCGUGGGGAGCGAACAGGAUUAGAUACCCCUGGUAGUCCACCCCCCUAAACGAUGGAUACUAGUUGUUGGUCUGCUUGCAGAUCAGUGACCAAGCGAAAGUGAUAAGUAUCCCACCUGGGGAGUACGGUCCCCCAGAUUGAAACUCAAAGGAAUUGACCGGGGCCCCGCACCAGCCGGUGGAGCAUGUGGUUUAAUUCCAUGAUACGCGAGGGAACCCUUACCAGGGCCUAAAUGUAAGUUGCCAUGGGGGUAGAAGAUACCCCCUUUUCCU
rnacentral:rRNA from 1 species